ACGCCACCUUAUCUAGAGUAAGAUAAGACUGAUAAGGAGUGUAUCAACACUUUCACCGAGUGAUAAAAUGACCAUUCCACAUCUGCGUCCGAGGGAAUAGAGGGAGAGAGUUACGCCUAGGUUUCAUACCUACUACUCCUACAAGACUAGGUCUACAGUAAGGUGUAUACUUGCUUUAAAAUUAAUCCGUUCAGGGCAAUAAUAAAUUACCACAGAUGACAAAAUCAAGUAAUGGUUUCAAAUUCCACAGAAAAAUUAGAAUGGUAAGGUGACAUCAAUUCAUUUUGAGAGGGAUACCCUCAGGUUUCAGAUAAAAUGAUCAUCUAUAAGUAAAUUCCCUAUCAAAAUGAAAAAAUAUCUGAUAAAAUCUGAUUACUAUCAAACUUAGUUAAAACAAUUUAAGAGAGUAUAGUAUUGUUGACUGAAAACAAUGUUUAUUUUCUGGAGGCUAUCAUGAGAAAAACUGGAAGAUAAGAAAGGAUGAUUAUGUUGUUUAAAAAACCUAAACUAUUUGGUAAAACUUAACAAAGGGGUAAGGGAGUAAAUGAAAAAAAUUCAUUACUAAUUUUCUGCCUUAAUUAUGAAAGAGUUGAAAGCGGGUGAAUCCUAAUAAUUGAUCCCAAAAAAAGAUACACAACCAAAAUUUUUAACUCAGAGGUUCCAACUAAAAUCACACUUACUCAAUGAGGGACCUGAUGGAAUUUAUAAUUUGCACAGAUGAUUCUUCUUAUUCAUACCAACAAUUGAGAGGAAAGUAAGAUAAGUGCUUAUACUCACUGCUGAGGAAAAAUGAAGACAGGGCAUUCCAUUGAACGAAUGUACGCACCAUGUUGGAAUUGAUGUCAGAGAUCACAGGCAAAAUUUCAUUUUACACUUGAUUCACUUCUCGAGACAAAUUGGCCGUGUCAAGAAAAGGCGGAUCGAAAAAAAAACUGUCAGACGAGAUAGGGAAAACAGUGAGCCAGACUUCGUAAGUAAACUUUUCCCGUUUUCCCCAUUGUUUCAUGUUUGGUCUAGAAUUGAGACGAUA
rnacentral:lncRNA from 1 species